UACGUAGGGUGCGAGCGUUGUCCGGAAUUAUUGGGCGUAAAGGGCUCGUAGGCGGUCUGUCGCGUCGGGAGUGAAAACUCAGGGCUUAACCCUGAGCCUGCUUCCGAUACGGGCAGACUAGAGGUAUGCAGGGGAGAACGGAAUUCCUGGUGUAGCGGUGGAAUGCGCAGGAUAUCAGGAGGAACACCGGUGGCGAAGGCGGUUCUCUGGGCAUUACCUGACGCUGAGGAGCGAAAGUGUGGGGAGCGAACAGG
rnacentral:rRNA from 1 species